UUAAUGUUCUGGGCUAUUUGUCAUAUUAAGCCUUAGAAGCAUGAAUAACACUUUCAUUUGAAAACCUCUUGAUUUCGUUAGCUGAGCGUUUCAUAUUGGCUAGGCUCCUGGAAAUUCUCUCUGCUUCCUUCCACAAGGGUGUUAGGCUGCUAAUUACCAGGAGCUGUUGGACCUACAACUGAUCAUGGGGUAGACUAGCCGCUGCUUGAACUGAUAAUUGGUCUUCUCUGGAAAAAGGAACCGGUGGACUUAAUCUUCAGCUCGCAUAUAUCAUGAAAUUAAACAUAUUGCCUUUAUUCUUGCGUCGAGGUCUUCUGUAAAGAGAUUCACCAUGAUUUAUGAGG